rnacentral:rRNA from 1 species
AUUGAACGCUGGCGGCAGGCCUAACACAUGCAAGUCGAGCGAGCGGCGGACGGGUGAGUAAUGUCUGGGAAACUGCCUGAUGGAGGGGGAUAACUACUGGAAACGGUAGCUAAUACCGCAUACCAUCAGAUGUGCCCAGAUGGGAGUAGCUAGUAGGUGGGGUAACGGCUCACCUAGGCGACGAGCCCUAGCUGGUCUGAGAGGAUGACCAGAAACACUGGAACUGAGACACGGUGCAGAGUCCUACGGGAGGCAGCAGUGGGGAAUAUUGCACAAGGGGGGAAAGCCUGAUGCAGCCAUGCCGCGUGUGUGAAGAAGGCCUUCGGGUUGUAAAGCACUGUCAGCGGGGAGGCGUUACCCGCAGAAGAAGCACCGGCUAACUCCGUGCCAGCCGCCGCGGUAAUUC